rnacentral:rRNA from 1 species
CCUACGGGUGGCAGCAGUGGGGGAUAUUGCACAAUGGGGGAAACCCUGAUGCAGCGACGCCGCGUGUGGGAAGACGGUCCUCUGGAUUGUAAACCACUGUCGCCAGGGACGAAGAUGAUGGUACCGGGGGAGGAAGCGCCGGCUAACUACGUGCCAGCAGCCGCGGUAAUACGUAGGGAGCGAGCGUUGUCCGGAAUUACGGGGUGGAAAGGGAGCGGAGGCGGGGAUGCAAGGUGGGUGUCAAAACUACCGGCUCAACUGGUAGUCGCACUCAAAACUGCAGCUCUUGAUUGAAGUAGAGGCCGGCGGACUUCCUAUUGUAGCGGUGAAAUGCUUAGAUCUUCGGAGGAACCCCAGUGGCGACGGCGGCCUGCUGGGCUUUUCCUGACGCUGAGGCUCGAAAGUGUGGGGAGCAAAC